UACAGAGGGUGCAAGCGUUAAUCGGAAUUACUGGGCGUAAAGCGCGCGUAGGCGGUUUGUUAAGUCGGAUGUGAAAUCCCCGGGCUCAACCUGGGCAUUGCAUCCGAUACUGGCUGACUAGAGUGUGGGAGAGGAAGGUAGAAUUCCAGGUGUAGCGGUGAAAUGCGUAGAGAUCUGGAGGAAUACCGAUGGCGAAGGCAGCCUUCUGGCCUAACACUGACGCUGAGGUGCGAAAGCAUGGGGAGCAACAGG
rnacentral:rRNA from 1 species